GCCAGCACAGUGUAGUGGUUUGAAUCUUGGACUACAGCUCAAGAGACCAGGGUUUGAUUCCCUGCUCAGGCA